UUGAAGCCAAUUUAGCCAAGUGUGCUCCUUUCCCCAUGGGAGCCUGGUGUGCACUGGCUGCAAACAGCAGCCUCCUCGGCAAUGUAUGCAGCCUGUCGCCUGCUAGGGUUGCCCUAAGGGACCUUGGAAACAGCC